rnacentral:rRNA from 1 species
AGUGAACGCUGGCGGUAGGCCUAACACAUGCAAGUCGAACGGCAGCACAGGAGAGCUUGCUCUCUGGGUGGCGAGUGGCGGACGGGUGAGGAAUACAUCGGAAUCUGCCCAGUCGUGGGGGAUAACGUAGGGAAACUUACGCUAAUACCGCAUACGACCUUCGGGUGAAAGAGGGGGAUCGCAAGACCUCUCGCGAUUGGAUGAGCCGAUGUCGGAUUAGCUAGUUGGCGGGGUAAUGGCCCACCAAGGCGACGAUCCGUAGCUGGUCUGAGAGGAUGAUCAGCCACACUGGAACUGAGACACGGUCCAGACUCCUACGGGAGGCAGCAGUGGGGAAUAUUGGACAAUGGGCGCAAGCCUGAUCCAGCCAUACCGCGUGGGUGAAGAAGGCCUUCGGGUUGUAAAGCCCUUUUGUUGGGAAAGAAAUCUUUCAGGCUAAUACCCUGGGAGGAUGACGGUACCCAAAGAAUAAGCACCGGCUAACUUCG